AUUGAACGCUGGCGGCAGGCCUAACACAUGCAAGUCGAACGAGUGGCGGACGGGUGAGUAAUGUCUGGGAAACUGGCUGUUGGAGGGGGAUAACUACUGGAAACGGUAGCCAAUACCGCAUACCAUCGAUUUUACCCAGAUGGGAUUAGCUGGUAGGUGGGGUAAAGGCUCACCUAGGCGACGAUCCCGAGCUGGUCUGAGAGGAUGACCGGCCAAACGGGAACUGAGACACGUUCAAGACUCCUACGGGAGGCAGAGUGGGGAAAUAUUGCACAAGGGGCAAAAGCCUUAGGCACCCAUGCCGCGUGGAUGAAGAAGGCCUUCGGGUUGUAAAGUACGUUCAGCGGGGAGGCGUUACCGGCAGAAGAAGCACCGGCUAACUCCGUGCCAGCAGCCGCGGUAAUUC
rnacentral:rRNA from 1 species